rnacentral:rRNA from 1 species
GACGAACGCUGGCGGCGCGCUUAACACACGCAAGUCGAACGGAAAGGCCUGCUUUCCCUUGUGGAUUGCGGGUACUCGAGUGGCGAACGGGUGAGUAACACGUGAGUGAUCUGCCCCCAACUUGGGUAUAAGCCUGGGAAACUGGGUCUAAUUCCCGAUAGGACUGCAGGGUGGUGCCUGUGGUGGAAAACGAUUUUCUAGUGGUUGGGGAUGAGCUCGCGGCCUAUCAGCUUGUUGGUGGGGUAAUGGCCUACCAAGGCGGCGACGGGUAGCCGGCCUGAGAGGGUGGACGGCCACAUUGGGACUGAGAUACGGCCCAGACUCCUACGGGAGGCAGCAGUGGGGAAUAUUGCACAAUGGGCGGAAGCCUGAUGCAGCGACGCCGCGUGGGGGAUGACGGCCUUCGGGUUGUAAACUCCUUUCGACCGCGAGGAAGCCACCUGGUUGGAAGGGUGGUGACGGUAGUGGUAGAAGAAGCACCGGCUAACUACGUG